rfam:Pantoea sp. PSNIH1, complete genome.
CUUUAACAAUCCGGAACAAGCUGAAAAUUUGAAACGACCGCGUCGUAUUCGUUCUCCGUAAUAAGAACGAUGCGCGAUGCGGCCGGGUCUCAAGAUUAUCGCGAUUCACAGCGUUCAAAACGCCUGUGG